rnacentral:lncRNA from 1 species
UCAGAGGAGAGGAUGGUAGGCUGGGUCCAAAGCAGCAGAGAGAUGGAGGAAGAGUGAGAAAAGGUCAUUGGAUUUAGCAAUAGAGAAAUUCCUAGUGGCCCAGAAGAGGGCAGUUUCAGUCAGGUGGUGAAGAUGGAAAUCAGAUUGCCUGAGGGUGGAGAAGUGAAUGGGAGGUGAGAAACUGAUAAGGGGUGAGAAAGUGAUAAAACAGGAGGGAGAGUGAAAUCUGGAGCGCUUCCUGGAGGAUGUGAGCUCAGAACUGAAGGGGUGGGCUGCAAAGGAGAGACCUGACCUGAACUUGGCCUUCCAGUUUCCAGCAGCGGGUAGAGAGCUUCCAUGAGAACCCAAGCAUCCGAGGGCUGCCGUGUGACACUUAUAUCAGUCAGACAAUUACCUUAGUGAGCUAUGGCCCCCUCCAUCACUAAGUCAGACCCUAGAGCGGACGGGAGAAGGGCCCCAGCAUGACCUAAUGUUCUCCCCAUGGGGAGUUGGCCCAACCUUUCCUUGCGGAGUCUGUCCCUAUCCCAGAUGUUCUGAGGUCCUUUCCUUCCUCUCCCCAACUCUAUCCCCCUGGAAAAGGGCCACAGAAAGGGCCUCCCUAUACUUCCUCUGGAAACAUGGAAAGGGACGCCCAUUGUGGCCUCAAGAAAAACAUCCUUCCCAGAGACACAGAGACAUCCUCCUCAGGGACAUAGACUUCAAAAGAGACACCUCCCUACACUAUGAGAGUAAGCUCUCCAGAGACAGAGUGACCUUCAGACACACACACAAAGAGAACUCCAGAAACAGAGAAACUCCACUAGAAAGACGACCCAAAGAGAGAUUCCUCCAAGGACAGAGACACCCUCCCAUCAGAGAUAUGGAGAGACCUCUCACACGGACCAAAGCCAUGCCCUCUGCCCACCACUCAGCUCUCUAGCUGAGCGUCUGUCCUGCCUGGGGCCCUCAGAGAGCGAGCCUGCUUGGGAGGCAGCUGCAAAUGCUCUUGACCAUGCGACCUGCCUCUUCCACCUCCUCUUUCAAGAACUGCAGGUCAGGAAGCCCCUGGGCCCCCUCCCAAACUGUCUAGAAAAUGGGGACCUGGGGGUUGUGACAAGGGUCAGAUCAGGAUCAGGCCGAGAUCCAGCCAAGCCAGAGACUGGACUAGGAGAGAGGAAGAGAGGAAAGAAAGGGGAGGGAGCAGAAUGGAGGGAGGAGAUAGAUAUUUACACUGACAGCCCAGCUGGGGGAGGGGGGAGGCACAACCUUGGUCUGGGCCUAAACUCCCAAAGGCUCCCGUUGCCUAUUGACUGCUAUACUCAGAAGUGUGGAAGCCUGAGGCUGCGCCUGGGCGUGCUGGUCCAGGAUGGGUGUGACCUUUUAUGUCCUUUGUGCUCAGGUCUGUGACUCUGUAUGGAAUGGGUGCCCAUGAAUUAAAUGAGCUUCAGCUUUGGUUACAUGUGUGUGCUCAACCCCUCCCACCCUCAUGAAGACAUUGAUGGGCUCUGGGACCCCCCCAUUAAGACUUGAAGAAUUCCCGGCUCUUCUACUCAUGGGCUCGGGGGCCUGGGUGGGACCUGAAGGGAGCUGUGGGUCAGAUGAAUUCUGAUCUGUCCUUUCUCUGGACGAUUCCAGCCCCACUUCUCCAAAGUGAUGUGUCACAAGUAGCUGACCAGCUCUGAGGCUCUGGAUGGCAUUGUAGAGACCCUGGGAGCUCAAGCCUUAGCCCUCAGAAGCAUUCAUGAGCAGCCUUACCUGAUAUGAAUGGACAUGUCCACAGGUGGGAGGGAGGGGAUAGGUGGAGAAUGGACGGGGAGAAAGGCAGAAAAAUGAAGGGGCAAAGGAUCCCCCCCUUCUCCUGGUGCCUUUGCCCUUCCUCCCUUCUCAUCUUCUUCCAAAAUUGGAUCUCUAGGGGCAGCUGUGUGGCACAGCGAAUAGAGCACCGGCCAUCAAGGCAGGAGGACCUGAGUUCAAAUCCGGCCUCAGACCAAACAUUUGACACUUACCAGCUGUGUGAUCCUGGGCAAGUUACUUAACCCCUAAAAAAAAAAGGGGUCUCUAUCUAGUCUAGCCCAAUCUCCCCCUAUAUCUAUCCUCCCUAUCUGUCUUUGCCCCUCUCUCCUCUCCCUCCCUGUCUCUUUCCCCUCCUCUUCCUCUUCCCCCUUUUCCUUCUCCUCCUCCUCCUCUUCUUCUUCUCUCUCCCCCAAUAUUUCCUCUCUCUAAUGCCCUUCUCUGUCUCUGAAAUAUCUCCUCCUCUCUAUCUCCCUUAUAUCUCUCCCAUUUCUGUCCCCCAAUCUCUCCCCUUUCAUCUCUUCCUGUUCUCAUUUUCCCCAUCUCCUUUGUCCUUCUAUCUCCCCAUCUUUUUCCCUGUAAAGUCCCAUUAUUUCUUCUCAUCUCUAUUCCCCUCUGUGCCCCUCCAAUAUCCCCCCCAAUUUCUACUUCCUUCUAUCCUGAUAAUCUCUCUCCCCUGCCCCACAUCACUGUGUCUCCCCUUAGUACUUACUCUAAUAUGUGCGUAGACCCUGGUUGGGGACCUGCACCGAAAGCACCUGGUGGAAUAUGUGGAGAUGAAUUGGAGGGGCCUACUCUGGGUGGGUUUCAGAGUUUGGGGAUCUAGCUCUGCUUCUGGGCUCCAGAGAUAAGGAUUCCAGGACUGACGUGGUUGAGGGGGAGACUGAUUCUGGAGCUGACUAUAUGAAUAAAGCUCCCAGAACUGUGCCGUGACCA